rnacentral:rRNA from 1 species
UACGGAGGGGGCAAGCGUUACUCUUCGUUACUGGAUGUAAAGGGUAUUACGGUGGUUUUUUAAGUUUUUAAUAAAAUAUCAAAAUUCAAUUUUGAAACUAUUAAGAAAUACUAAAGAACUUUGAGUUUAUCAGGAGAAAGUUGUAUACUUAGUGUAGAGUUAGAAUUCUUCAAUAUUAAGCAGACAUUCAAUAGGCGAAAGCUACUUUCUAGGAUAAACUGACACUCAAAUACAAAAGCGUGGGGAGCAAACAGG